rnacentral:rRNA from 1 species
UACGGAGGGUGCGAGCGUUGUUCGGAAUCACUGGGCGUAAAGGACGUGUAGGCGGCCCGCUAAGUCUGAUGUGAAAUCACGUGGCUCAACCACGUGCGGUCAUUGGAAACUGGAGGACUUGAGUGCAGAAGAGGAAAGUGGAAUUCCAAGUGUAGCGGUGAAAUGCGUAGAGAUUUGGAGGAACACCAGUGGCGAAGGCGACUUUCUGGUCUGUAACUGACGCUGAGGCGCGAAAGCGUGGGGAGCAAACAGG